ACUUCUGCUCAGUUGGCUUCUGCAUCGGGAUCACACAGCCAUCAGCAGGACUGCCCAGUUGGUGAGCACACUCCAUUGACCACGUGGCGCCAGCGCUUCCUCAAUGCACAUGAUUGAGAGGAAAGAAAGUUCUCUUAGAUGUUACUGCUUUUGCUCAGACUUUGCAAAAAAAAAAAUAUAUAUAUAUAUGUAUAAAUAUAUAAUUAUUAAUCACUUUUGUCCUUGAGAAAGUCUUGAAUGAACAGAGAAUUUAUUCCAUUGCAAUAUUUGAUUGUAUAGAGGCA
rnacentral:lncRNA from 10 species